GAGGGCGACCGGCCACACUGGGACUGAGACACGGCCCAGACUCCUGCGGGAGGCAGCAGUGGGGAAUAUUGCGCAAUGGGCGAAAGCCUGACGCAGCGACGCCGCGUGGGGGAUGACGGCCUUCGGGUUGUAAACCUCUUUUACCACUCACGCAGGCUCCACGUUUUCGUGGGGUUGACGGUAGGUGGGGAAUAAGGACCGGCUAACUACGUGCCAGCAGCCGCGGUAAUACGUAGGGUCCGAGCGUUGUCCGGAAUUAUUGGGCGUAAAGAGCUCGUAGGCGGCGUGUCGCGUCUGCUGUGAAAGACCGGGGCUUAACCCCGGUUCUGCAGUGGAUACGGGCAUGCUAGAGGUAGGUAGGGGAGACUGGAAUUCCUGGUGUAGCGGUGA
rnacentral:rRNA from 1 species